rnacentral:rRNA from 1 species
UACGUAGGUGGCGAGCGUUAUCCGGAAUUACUGGGCGUAAAGGGUGCGUAGGUGGUUUCUUAAGUCAGAGGUGAAAGGCUACGGCUCAACCGUAGUAAGCCUUUGAAACUGGGAAACUUGAGUGCAGGAGAGGAGAGUGGAAUUCCUAGUGUAGCGGUGAAAUGCGUAGAUAUUAGGAGGAACACCAGUUGCGAAGGCGGCUCUCUGGACUGUAACUGACACUGAGGCACGAAAGCGUGGGGAGCAAACAGG